GAUGUUCAUUUAGUAAAUUAUGGUCCCAUUUAGAGUCAAAUAGACCUUAAAUAGUAAUAGCUUUGUCCGGUCACGGAGUUGUCCGUGUUUUCGUUUUACAACUUUGACCCUUUCACAGUGUGUUUUCAAUUCAUGAAAGUUAAGUGUAACAUUUUGGUCGCCGAAAAAAUGUCUUAUUCAGCAUUGAGCUGUACUUAGCUCAACCCUCUUGUGUUACAUCUGGUUGCAAAAAACCAAGAUGGCGACGGCCGAAAUGGCUUCAAAAUGUUAGUCAACAAAACCAAUGGGUGACGUCAUGGGUGACUAGGUCCACUUCUUAUAUACAGUCUGUGAUUGGACAAAUCAAGAAAUUUGAAGCUGUGGGAGAUUGUAAUGGCCAUUCUUUCCACAAACAUUUUAUAGACUAAACGAUUAAUUUAUUAAUUGAAACAUUUCAAUAAUUAUCAGUUACAGUCCUGCACCCAAUUAAGCAAAUCAAACAACAACAAAUGGAUCAUAAAAUAAAAGUUUGUGUCGAAAACAAAAAAAGUGCAUCAUUAAAGAGUUCAUCAUCUCAGGUUUAGUAAAAAAAAAGAAUCAAAUAUAUUGUGUUUCAGGUGUGUGCGGUUUACAGUUAAUGCCUGGCAGCUGUUAAAAAUAGACAUCACAUAUAUGGUUUAUGUGCUGAACGGUCACAUCGCGUGCAGCUCAGCCAUUGAAGGGCAGUUAAGUGGAAAAAGCCAAACAACAAAUGUUGGGCUGAAAGAUGUGAACAUGAAUGUCUUGCCCCCCUUCCUUCUCUCUCCCUCUCUGUCUGUAUCGUCAUACUCCCUCCUCCCUCCUCCCUCAGGCCCUCUCCUCCUCUCCCUCCUUCUGACUGACAUUUCUGUAAUGACACUGUCUGAGCUCCUGCCUCCAUCCCAUCCUCAGCUUACUGUAUGCCACACGCAGGGCCAGCCUGUCACACCGAGAGCCCGCCUGGCACGCCUCACAUCUAUAUCAGACCACUAAAUGCCAAUAAUAGCAACUCAGCUUGAUUAAGAAAAGGAAGCGUCCUCCAUCUUCCGGGCCCCUCUGUUCUGUUGGCUCUCCUGGAGAUAGAGUUGUUGUUUGUCAAAGGGUUUAAUGGACACGCUCGCAGUCAGACGCUCUGCUGGUCAGCCUGUUUGAAGAUUGGGAUUUUGUUGAAGUGGGUUAAGCCCAACGUGUCUUUAUAUUUGGGCAGGGGUGUUACAGUUUUGAGGGGGGAUUGUUGAACCCUAAGCAUGCCUGGGCUUUGCUGCUAAUAUUAUACUUCCCGGAGUAAUGGUGGAUGGAUGUUGGAGAGUGGUCUGCUGGUUAUGGGUUAGGACACAGUCAUAUAUCCCAAAAAAUUAUAUAUUUAUUAAUAUUUAAUGUGGCCUAACACCAUGAUAAAUCUUCACAGGAGACCCUUUCUACGUGAGAAAGUUUGAUCAAAAUGCAGUUAACGUGGAUUGGUUAUUUCUUAUACAACCAUUUACAAUGUUUUGUGUAGGCAUGUACUGUAUUCCCGCAAAUGCACAUGGCUUUAAAUGUACUUCUCUCUUGUGAUGCGUCUGCUAGCCGAGCUUCUAUAAUUACCACAGCCUGCAGCGCCUCAUGGGGAGCAUAUUAACACACACGGGUGGAGGAGCAAGAACCAGAGCACAUGCACAAGUCAUACAGGCUGUGUGUGUGUGUGUGUGUGUGUGUGUGUGUGUGUGUGUGUGUGUGUGUGUGUGUGUGUGUGUGUGUGUGUGUGUGUGUGUGUGUGUGUGUGUGUGUGUAUGAACACAAAGCCCGUUCCUCUCCAUUAGACAUUACAGUUUCAAGUCUCAUCUCAGGAUUGUUUCGAGGACUGUGAGAAACUGGACUGGACCAAUUAUGUAGGAGUCUUGGAGUGGCACAUACUAUGGACCAUACAGGAAUAUAAAAAAAAAAAUAGGUCUUACAGAUAGCCUUGAUGUUCAACCCUUUAUUGUUGUAACAGACUUUAAUGUUAUGUAGAGCGUUUUUGUUGCAAUCCAGGUGCAGUAUCCCAUUUCUUGAAAUCACUUGGUGCGGCGCCUCACUCUUACCAUUUUCUAGCAGGGUAAUUUCUACUGUCUGAUACGCAAAUGUCCAAAAAUAAUAGUUGUUUUCUGUGCUGUAGUGUAAUAAAACGGCAAUAAUGUAGGUUGGCGCUCAGGUGAGAAAGAAGUUGCUCGCUCGGGAUGCGGGGCGUCUAGCUGGCUAGACACAGUACAGUGACUGGUGGCUAGAGAGUAGCAGGUGUCAAACAGCAAAUAUAUUUUUAAAUUAUCCCAUUUUUAUGAACUUUCCGGGGGUUUCAUGCUCAGGUUUUAUGUUGCCAGUUGAGAGCAGGAGCAAUAUAUCAACAGCCACUAGAUGGUGACAGUUACAAUGACUUACUUUUCCUUGUGUUGUGUAAAAGGUCCUGGCUCCAUUGAUCCUAAGGUAAUUUAUCUGAUGUUUCACAUGACCAUCCAAAUCCCAGAAUCCAAGCAAUAUUACUAUUUUUGUCUUGUUGUCUUUGAAAAGGGAUACUGCAUCUGCGAGAGCUUUAUUUUUAUCCCCAUUAGUGAGUGUUUGUCAUCCACCUUAAUGAUUCUGCGGUUGAAAAAAAUAGCCAGCCAGGGUUGAAUUUAACGAUGAUGUCAAGAUGUUAGCUCAAGUGUUUCUAGGUUAGGAAUAUAAGCCAGAGACGAGGCCGCGGAGCAAUAACGCUGCUCUUGGUUUUCAGCAAACCUCAUCUCAGUGUUAGUUACUCCUGUAUAUAAACAUCUGUAAAUGUAAUGUAAUCUGUUUUCUGUCCUCUCUCUGUAACGUAUCGCACAGCUCUGACAGAGCCUUGUGUCGCUGAUGACCAGCCCCGACUGGUUGAAAAUGAGCAGGAAAUUCUUUCAUCUGUAUUACAUCAGUAUUGAACACUGCAGGAGGGCGUGAGUCAUGAGAAACCGAGUAGCACAAGGUGAAUCUAAAACUGUACUGAUGGAUCAAUUACCCUUUUGCUUGAAAGCUUUGGAAAGGCUUACACCUGGUACCGAAAGCAGCUGCUGCCUUUCCUCGAGCCUCCUUCAACCUUCUGUUUACGUACGUGUGAAAUAACCUAGUGUAUUGUAAUGACUGGGUAAUCCGAUCAAGCUGUUAAUAACAUUGUCUUUCUUGCAUAUAUCCUGUGAAGUAUGAUUGUUAUAAUUUAAUUUUGAUUCUUUUUUUUUUUUUCUUUGUAGCUGGCCUACAUGAUUAUUGAAUUAAUUUAUUAUGAAUGACUGGUAAGGUGUUCUUUUUGAUUUCAGGCAGCUUUAGAUGAUUUCUCCUGAGAAGUAUUAUUUAAAGGAAGCACAAUGAAUGGGUAUGGGAAGAGGACAGUAUUUGUAUGGGAGAACAAAAGCAUUGUCAUAUCAUGGGCAUCAUUUGUCUUUGUGACCCUGCAGGGGACCAUUCAUCAUUUAGAUCAUGAAGUAUUGAUUUAAGCAGACUUAACAUCCGUAAUUAGAAACAUCAGGCGUUGCUAAAGCUUUUGUAUCUUGACAUAAAGGCUAUAAAAAACUUCUAGUACAACCAAAAGCCAGUCAGUGGACUGUCACAGCAGGGUAAAUGAGACGUUAAGCCUGAAGGCACGCGUGAUGCCGAUUUCUGUACUUCUGCAGAGAUCCCUUCCUCUCGUUUUUAAUCAAAAUACCAGUUACUUACAUCUGAAUUUCUGUGAAAUUGUCUCUAACUGUAGACAUCAUGUUGCCUCAUCCCAUGUAUCAAACAUCUGUUUCUUUGUUACUCUCAUUUCCAACUCCCUUUCCUGUUGAAUGGCAUUACGAUCAACCAAUCCUGUCGGUUUCCUGUAUUAUCCAGUGUACAGUGCAAUGGGUAUCUGGGAGAAUAAAAUCAGAGCAAACAACUGCAUGGAAUAAAUGCUGAUGUACUGUA